rnacentral:rRNA from 1 species
AGCGGAGAUGAGGUGCUUGCACCUUAUCUUAGCGGCGGACGGGUGAGUAAUGCUUAGGAAUCUGCCUAUUAGUGGGGGACAACAUUCCGAAAGGAAUGCUAAUACCGCAUACGCCCUACGGGGGAAAGCAGGGGAUCUUCGGACCUUGCGCUAAUAGAUGAGCCUAAGUCGGAUUAGCUAGUUGGUGGGGUAAAGGCCUACCAAGGCGACGAUCUGUAGCGGGUCUGAGAGGAUGAUCCGCCACACUGGGACUGAGACACGGCCCAGACUCCUACGGGAGGCAGCAGUGGGGAAUAUUGGACAAUGGGCGGAAGCCUGAUCCAGCCAUGCCGCGUGUGUGAAGAAGGCCUUUUGGUUGUAAAGCACUUUAAGCGAGGAGGAGGCUACUUAGAUUAAUACUCUAGGAUAGUGGACGUUACUCGCAGAAUAAGCACCGGCUAACUCUGUGCCAGCAGCCGCGGUAAUACAGAGGGUGCGAGCGUUAAUCGGAUUUACUGGGCGUAAAGCGUGCGUAGGCGGCUGAUUAAGUCGGAUGUGAAAUCCCUGAGCUUAACUUAGGAAUUGCAUUCGAUACUGGUCAGCUAGAGUAUGGGAGAGGAUGGUAGAAUUCCAGGUGUAGCGGUGAAAUGCGUAGAGAUCUGGAGGAAUACCGAUGGCGAAGGCAGCCAUCUGGCCUAAUACUGACGCUGAGGUACGAAAG